ensembl:lncRNA
CAAAUCUCUGCAUGCCAGGAUGCAAUAACAUGUAAAUUUCAAUUUGCAGGCUCUAAUAGAAGUGUGUGUUGUGGCCAUGCUGAAUGGGGAGGCUGCUGCGGUGGGCUGGGAUGUGCCGUCUUCUCCCCAUUGUGUGUGUGUCAAAGCCCAAGCUGGCCGGAGACUUCAUCUUGUGCCGGAGCUUUUUUAUCCGGAUGACUCUUCGACCAACUCAGUGUGGGUUCAGAAUGAGGACGGAUCUGUGGAAAGGAAAACUGUGUGUGGACUGUGCACAGCCUUUGUCACUGGGCCGCAGGGUUCGGGCUGAUGCUGGGCAUUUGAGUGGUGGCGUGGCUGAUAUGGUUAGACAGGGCAUGGGGCGCUGUGCCAAGACGGUGCCAGCGUCUACCUCUGAUCUGCUGGCACUUCAUCAGCACACUUGUGCCAUCCAGCCUGCAAACACCCCACUGUACGCAGCGGGACCCAACUGCAAGUCCUGUCCUGCUCCACUACUCACUGCGUCUCUGCGGCAGCCAGCAGGUUCUUUGUCACCUUACCUGUCGAUACUCAGGAGGGAUGGUGUGUCAAGCUGGGAAGGGUCCCAGUAUUAAUACACACUGGAGGUUACCCAGCACCUCCCCGAGGCCUUGUGUGUCGGGGCCCCCUGUGACCGCCAGCUGACAGAGUGCUCUUUAAUACCCAAUCGACAGUAUCGACGUAUCCCCCCAGACACAAGGCCCACAGAGCUUGCGGAACCACCCCCUG